UCAAUUUCAUUUAGCUAAACGCUAUUUAUUCCUCUAAGAAGUCAGCAUCUGCGAUUAAACACAAAUGUACUAUUUAGCAGGCUAGAGUCUCGUUCGUUAU
rnacentral:rRNA from 1 species